rnacentral:rRNA from 1 species
ACACGACAAUUCCUAAGUAACACUUCUACUCACGCCUAAAGAAAAUACUCAACCAUAAAAAGUAUCAAACAAAACUACUUCAAAUGAUAAACCGCAAGGGCUAAAUAUUCAGUCAUUAAAAGAAAGAAUAAUCCACUCUCCCUUUUGCAUCAUGGAGAAGCAACACCCAAAUUAAUAACACUUAAACUCCCGAAAAAAUAUGAGCUACUAACCAUUAAAAUUAAUGUAUCACAAUUAAUAAACUAGGGGUUAGUAGGAGUAACAAGCCUUUCACAUUUUUUGAUAGCUGGUUUUCCCCAAAAAGCAUUAAAGUGCUGGUUUAUGGAACCAACAAUCUCAAUGAGCCAUAACCCCAAAACUACCUAGGAUAAGCUAGGCAGUUCACUCAAAAUACAUAAACCUUAAACAAUUUCAAGUAGGCUUAAAAACAGCCAACCUAUUGCGUUUUAGUGAAAAACAUCCGCAAAGCAUAUAAAACAAAUAAAUUUUAACUCAAGGGGAACCUAACGCACAACAACCCUCAACCCUAUCGAACAGGCAUUCUAUUAGUAUAAGGUUUCAUUAAACACAUCACCAUAAAUCCUAAGCGAACUCAACAACUACUAACCAACAUUACACACACAUAAUGAACUCGACAAUGCCGUCUUUCGCCUGUUUACCAAAAACAUCGUUUCUCGAACACUAACAUGGGAAAUAAUGCCUGCCCAGUGAAUCAAAAAAUUUUAACGGCCGCGUUAGCGUGAGCGUGCUAAGGUAGCGUAAUAAAUAGCCUUUUAAUUGGAGGCCAGUGAAUGGCAACACGGAAAACCAUUGUGUCAUGUAUGCAAAUAAAAUUUUAUUUUUGAGUGAAAAAGCUCAAAUAGCCGAGGAAGACAAAAAGACCCCGCGGAGCUUUACUUUAUCAAGCCAAACCAGUCUAACCAGAUCAGUUAUGCUAAUAAGUUUGGUUGGGGCAACCCCGGAACCUCCAAAGCUUCCGGUCAUAUUUAAGAACAAGAUCAAUAACACCUUUGGACUAAAAAGAAGCUACCCCGGGGAUAACAGCGUAAUCCAACUCAAGAGUACGCAUCGAAAGUUGGGUUUGCGACCUCGAUGUUGGCUUAAGGUAAUUCACAUAAGCGCAGCCGCUAUGACAGAAUAGUCUGUUCGACUAUUAUACCCUUACAUGAGCUGAGUUAAGACCGGCGCAAGCUAGGUUGGUUUCUAUCUCCUCCACACAACCACACUCUCAAUUGUACGAAAGGACCCUGAGAUAUGCAAACUCCAGCAACACCCAUAAAUCGCAACCACUAUACAACAUUCUAAUUCCAGUAACCUAUC